rnacentral:lncRNA from 1 species
GUUCCUAAGGUCGGUGCUUUGUCUGUUGCUUCCUUGGUUGGCUGCUGCUGUACCCUGUUCUGGUCUGAGGUUUGUGGAGUCUAAUUUAUGAAAUUCUAUAUACAAAACUCGAGGUGCCUAAUGUCGCUGCUUUGUCUUUUGCCUAGGUUGUGUGCUGCUCUGUUCUUCUCGGUGCCUAGGCCCCUUACCUACUAUUUGUCCUCUCGACCCUUUUUGGUGAGUGGUAACCCAGCAUGCUCUUUAAAAACCACGACAAAUGUAUGCAUUUUUCAUAAGAUGACGCUACGGUGCUUACUAGGCCCCUGUGGUUUUGAAAAAAAGGUUUAGAAAGGUUGCCGGAAAGCAAAAGGGGCCGCCUAUUUCCUAUAAUUAUGGUGUACGUGGCCCUCUAAUCUGUUAACACUUCCCCCCGUAUGGAUGUUCUGGUGUUCCGUAGGGCCCCUCUGGCUGCUGUUUUUCCUAGGCUCUCUUCGCACUUCUACAUAGUUUUUCUGUAUUACUCAAUUUUUCCUUUGACCUGCAGUUUUCCAGAAUGUCGAUCGUUCAGCUAUCUUUUAGUAGGUUGCUUGAGGAAAUAUGCCAGAAAUUGGGUUUCCGGGUCCCUGAUUGUGUUGCCACGGUUGGUGGUGAAGGCUGGUAUGUUGCGUAUAUAGACCUGCCUAUCGCUCGCAACGGGGCAAUUGUCGAAAUUGCCCGUUGCUGGGGUGCUGCAUCCCCUGAUUUUCUUCUUGCGAAGGAUGAUUCCGCACGUGUAGCUAUUCAUCGAAUGAAAUCGGAGCUGGACCUUCAUAUAAAAGAUAUUAAUUAUGAUGACUGUAUAAUGUAUAAAAGCAUGUAUGAUAAUGUUAUGGUUCAGUCUAACGACCUCCUUGACAAGCUAAAUAAAUUGAAGCGCGAGCACAGUGUCCUUAGGGAUUGUUACGCUUCGUCUGUUGCUGAAAAAAUUAGGUAUAUAGAUGAGAACUUGAAAUUGGCCCGCGCGGUUGCUGAUCAGCGUACGACCAUCGCACGCCUCCAUGCAACCCGUGCUGUGGUGGCGUCUGAUCCCUCUGAAUCAAGCUCGGGUUCUUAGCCCUGUGCUUCUACCUUGACCUCCGUACUGUGCUGCAGGUACCUUGACCUCCGUACUGUGCUGCAAGCUCCUUCGUGCUUCUGUCGGGGGGCUUCAACUCUUUUUGUACUCCCGGGUUGAUGCCCAUAACUUAUAAUACUUUGCAUGUCCCCUUUUUGUUAAAUGUGCUAUGUCCUAUAAGCUUGGCUUUUCGUCAGCUCUUUUUCGCUUUUUUUGUAAAAAUGCCUCUUUUUGGCCUUUCUGUAAAAUGUGCUAUGUACUAUAAGCUUGGCUUUCCUUUAGCUCUUUUUUGUAACCAGAAAAUAUCCUAUGUACUAUAGGCUUGCCUGUGGAGCUUAAGUCUGUUUGUUUUCUUCAACUUAGAAUAUGCCGCAUACUUUGGGUGACUGUUUGUUUUUAUGUAUCUCCCUGUCGAGCUGCAUGGAGUUUGUGGUAGCUUUAAUUUGCCGAGGUCAUCUCAACAUUUGUGAAGUGUAAUGGAGUUUUCCUUUUGCGCUGUAUUUUUUUUCAACGGGUGGACUUUGGAUGGCCUUUUUCGCUAGGCAACCAGCCCCUCUUAUGUAGCCUAGGAACGGUGGCGAUUUGAUGAUGUUGGAUGAUGGGGCCUUUCCUUGGUUGCCUUCUAUAUAUGUAUAUAUAUAUAUAUAUAUAUACAAAUGAUUUCAGAUUUUGGGAAUUAACACCGUGCAUGAUUAAACCAGCUGGAUAACUUUUUGGAUCAGUCGAAUAACCUAGAGAAGAGAACUUCGCGAUGAACUCCACAAUUGGCUGCUUGAUAGUUUUGAGAUACUUUGUUUUCUCAAGGGUGUAUGGGUUUCUCUGAAUGUUUUCCUGAACUCGCUGUAUGACAGCCUUUGGAACAUGAAAAUCUUUUAAGCUAAUACUAAAACCGCUACAAAACAGCGCUUUGUCGAGGAAGAAGCUGUCUAAGCCUAUUUGAUUUUAUGUGUCGAAAUCUCAUUUACAAAUGAUUUCAGAUUUUGGAAAUUAACACCGUGCAUGAUUAAACCAGCUGAAUAACUUUUUGGAUCAGUUGAAUAACCUAGAGAAGAGAACUUCGCGAUGAACUCCACAAUUGGCUACUUGAUAGUUUUGAGAUGGUUUUCAGCUCACAUUUCCACAUACUUUGUUUUCUCAAGGAUGUAUGGGUUUCUCUGAAUGUUUUCCUGAACUCGCUGUAUGACAGCCUUUGGAACAUGAAAAUCUUUUAAGCUAAUACUAAAACCACUACAAAACAGCACUUUGUCGAGGAAGAAGCUGUCUAAGCCUCUUUGCCUCCUUGGUUGGCUGCUGCUGUACCCUGUUCUGGUCUGAGGUUUGUGGACUCUAAUUUAUGAAAUUGUAUAUGCAAAACUUAGGGUGCCUAAUGUCGCUGUUUUGCCUUUUGCCUAGGUUGUGUGCUACUCUGUUCUUCUCGGUGCCUAGGCCCCCUUACCUACUAUUUAUCUUUGGUUCUGCUGUCUACUGUUGACUGAGUCCCCUUUUUAUUUGAUUUACUUAGAUGAAUUUCAUGAUCAUUUAUCCUCUUCUGCUUUGUUCCCAAUAUUUUUUCGGCUGCAACUUGCUCACAUUUUUAAAUAGUUUACUUAGGGAUUUUGUCUUUCCUGUGGUCUUUAUUGCUCCUCUUGCUUUUAGUCCAGUCCUUAUCUUUUCCUUUGUUUCUCUUUACUCCUUUUUGUCCUUUGCUGUGAUGACCUUCCCCUUACAUAUGAAUUAUUCACGAUGCACACUGGUCCUGGAGGUGGUUUGUGUGCCUGGCUUCAUAAUGUACCAAUUAAUCUGCUUCUUCAUCGGUAAAGGGCGGACUUUGGAUGGCCUUUUUCUCUAGGCAACCAAUCCCUCUUAUGUAGGCUGUAAAUACUUUUGGUGUACAUGCCAAUUGUAGCUAAAUCUCCAAUACUAAGUGUGCAGUGUGCGAUGCCAAAUUGAUGAUGUUGCAUGAUGGGGAUUAGCCUGAGCAAAAUAUGCUUCUUUUCACUAUUCGGUUUUCCUUGAAAGCCUUCUCUAUAUAUUUAUGAAUAGUUUUAUCUUAUUUCUAUUAAGAUUCGAUUAACUAAUUGCUCUUGGAAAUAGUCGGCUUUGUUUUCAAGCUGUAACAACUUCAGCUUUUUCAUCCUAUGCUAUGGUGCAUCAGCCCUUCAGUGUUGAAUCGUUGCAGUUAUUAAGGGUUGCGCUAUUCCGGUUCUCUUGGCUGUUCUAGGGUGGUGAUGAAAGUAUUUGCGAUGGUUAUGUUUUGGAUAAUAAUUGUUUUGGAUAAGCCAAGACGAGGUUUAAUAAACACCCAAAUUGAAUAAAAUUGACCGAACCAAGUCAAAUUGUUUUGAUUUGACUAUCUUUUGAAUUUUUAGCAUUAGCAAAUUAUUUCUGUUUGAUUACAAGAAGCACAACAAAACCGAAUCGAACUAAGUCAUAAUUUCACUAAUUGCAUAUGUGGAUUAAGAGAAUUGAGGGGGACAAAUUUCGAAAAAGUAGGACUUUUCUAAUUGAAGCAUCAAAAUUUGGGACAGACCUCUUCUAACAUUUUCCUUGCUGUUGUUUUAUCCAUUUUUCCUUGCUUCUGUUCUUUGGGGCUGUGAUGAUAUUAAAAAAAAGAUAAAUGAGGUUUCGAUAGUUUUGUUGCUAGGCAACAAACUCUUGGAUGGCCUGGACUUACUUUAAGAUUUUGCCCCCGCUGGCUUUUGAGGUGGUAAGGAUGGAAAAAAUUUGGAAAAAGGAGUUUUGUUUGGACUAAUUUCUCUGCAACCAACCCUUGGUUUCCAUUGUCCCUUCCUCGACCUAUAUGUUAAGGUUGAUCCUGCAGCAGUGUUGAUGGAAAAAAAUGCAAAAAAAUAGCUUUCGAUAGUCUACUUGCUAGGCUGCCACCUUCUGGUGUUCAGUGUUCCUGCCUCACACUAUAUCUUACAAUCAGUUAUAAAUAAAAUCUGAGCCUCCAUACAUUUUUUUUCUUUUGUAUAUUCCCUGUAUUUUUAUUGUUACCUAUGUUGUUAUUACUGCUCUCACUCUCUUUGACUCUCUCAUUCACACACACUUACCUAUGUUUUUAUUGCUGAAUUACAACAUGUUUCUUUUUAUGUGUGUGCGUGCACAUGUGUACCUGUAUGUCCUUUAGACUUUGGGCUGUUGUUCUCGAUGUUAUAGACUUUGUGAUUGAUUGCAAAAGAGAGUUGAAGGUUAGUGCUCUAAAUUUUGGCUUAUGAAAUUUUUGAGUUUUGAGUUAUCCCGUGUCUGCUGAUUUUUUCAAGAUUUUCUUCGCACUUCUAAAUAGUGACAUUUUGAUAGAUUUUACGCUAGAUGAAUUUCAUGAUCAUUUAUCCUCUUCUGCUUUGUUCCCAAUGUAUUUUCGGGUCCAACUUACUCACAUUUUAAAUAGUUUACUUGGGGAUUUUGUCUUUCCUGUGGUCUUUAUUGCUCCUCUUGCUUUUAGUCCAGCUCCUAUCUUUUCCUUUGCUUCUCUUUACUCCUUUUUGUCCUAUGCUAUGAUGAGCUUCCCCUUACAUAUGAAUUAUUCGCGAUGCACACUGGUCCUGGAGGUGCUUUGUGCGCCUGGCUUCAUAAUGUGCCAACUAAUCUGUUUCUUCACCGGUAAAGGGUGGACUUUGGAUGGCCUUUUUCUCUAGGCAACCAGUCUCUCUUAUGUAGGUUGUAAAUACUUUUGGUGUACAUGCCAAUUGUAACUAAAUCUCCAGUUAAGUGUGCAGUGUGCGGCGCCAAUUUGAUGAUGUUGGAUGAUGGGGAUUAGCCUGAGCAAAAUAUGCUUCUUUUUACUAUUCGGUUUUCCUUGAUUGCCUUCUCUAUAUAUUUAUCAAUAGUUUUAUCUUAUUUCUAUUAAGAUUCGAUUAACCAAUUGCUCUUGGAAAUAGUCGGCUUUUAUUUUGAGACUGUAAUAACUUCGGCUUUUUCAUCCUAAGCUAUGAUGCAUCAGUUCUUCAAUGUUGAAUCAUUGCAGUUAUUAAGGAUUGCGCUAUUCCAGUUCUCUUGGCUGUUCUAGGCUGGUAAUGAAAGUAUUUGCGGUGGCUCACUUCGCAGUAAAUCAGUUACUCUUAUUUACUCCAAGGGUCUUUUUGUUGUCCAUGUGAGGAGUGGGUCACUGAGCAGUGCAAAUCCGGCGGCCUUCGCUGUUUGUUGGGUAAUAUCCGAUAGCCAUAUGAGUCUGAGCAAACUAUAUCUAUUUUUCCUUCCAGUUUUUCUUUCCUUUAAUUUACUCUUAUCUACCAAAUUAUUGGUUAUUGAUCUAUUAUUUGUUUUGCGCUCCCCUUUUUUAUAUUGGGCUUUGCAUGUAUUUUCUAUGCGCUUACUUUUUUCUCAAGGCUUCAGAAAAAUUGUGCGAAAUGGAAAUUUACAAUGCAUUUUCUUAAAAUUGAUUCCUGAGCUUUAAAAAUUUUGUUCUUUGGGGUACCUUUUACAGGAUCUGACGGCAAACUCCUUUUUCUUUUUUCCCCCUACUUUUUGUGGAAUUUCCUGGAAAUUUAGCUUUUUUUGUUGGAAUGAAGCAUAGAGACUUGAAAAAACUUUUUUUUUUUGUGGGGGGGGAUUUAUAAAGAGUUGU